GCCUGGUUAGCUCAAUCGGUAGAGCGUGAGACUCUUAGUAUUCACGGUCCUUCAAAACGAUUGAAAUACAAAGCAAUCUCAAGGUUGCGGGUUCGACCCCCGCAUCGGGCU
rnacentral:tRNA from 1 species